rnacentral:lncRNA from 1 species
CGGAGGAAAUGUAAGGGGGAUGCGCGGGAGGGCAGGAGGCACUUUGGCUUGCGUUCAGAAGAUGGGAGAGGGAAUUUUCCGCCUGGCGACAGUGGAGGCGGUGGAGGGGAGGUAUCAGGUUUUCAGAUGAAGCUGCUUCCAACCCUUCCUUUCCCUCCUUCGCGGCACAGUCUUGAGGCCCUGAGGACUGGGAUCUGCGACACCCAGUGGACAAAAGUCGGCCGUACCCCAGAGGCUAAUUUUCUCACGGCAGGCACCUGUUGCAGAGGCUGCACGUAAAAUAAAGGCGAACGCUAGUUUCCGAGCUCAUGAGCUGACACAUACAGAGGAGAGGUCAAAAGAGGUCCCUGGAGAACACAGUGAUGCUUCUGAGCCACAGUAAGGAUCUAGUCCAGCCCUAAAUGAGUCCUUGACUGUAUUCAGAGUCUGGUAAUGGGAAUAACAGGAGAGGGGGGUGGGUUUCUAACUGCAUGAAUUAAUCCACAAAGCAGUUUUCCUUUGGGAAGGAGAAGAGGUCUUGCAUACCAGCACAGUGGAUGGGGAAUGGUGUGACCUCUGUCCCUGCUCUCUUCUCUGCUGGCUUAAGGGUCUAUUCUCCAUGUGUCUAUUUCUUUGAUGACUUUAUACUUUUUAUGAAAGGAGCAUCUUUUCAUUAAACCUUCAAAAAUAAAGGAAGAUACAAAAACUAAAGUACAAAUUACCUGAAACUCAGCACCCUUUUGUAACCAUUGUCAGCCCUUUGGUGAAUGUCCUUCCAGAUAUCUCCCUGUACCUGUGUACCCAGAUAGAUAUAUGUAUAGAUAAGAGUGACCAAAUAUAAGUGCUGUUCUAUACUGUGUAUUUUU